GACGAACGCUGGCGGCGUGCUUAACACAUGCAAGUCGAACGGAAAGGCCCUGCUUUUGUGGGGUGCUCGAGUGGCGAACGGGUGAGUAACACGUGAGUAACCUGCCCUUGACUUUGGGAUAACUUCAGGAAACUGGGGCUAAUACCGGAUAGGAGCUCCUGCUGCAUGGUGGGGGUUGGAAAGUUUCGGCGGUUGGGGAUGGACUCGCGGCUUAUCAGCUUGUUGGUGGGGUAGUGGCUUACCAAGGCUUUGACGGGUAGCCGGCCUGAGAGGGUGACCGGCCACAUUGGGACUGAGAGACGGACCAGACUCCUACGGGAGGCAGCAGUGGGGAAUAUUGCACAAUGGGCGGAAGCCUGAUGCAGCAACGCCGCGUGCGGGAUGACGGCCUUCGGGGUGUAAACCGAUUUCGCCUGUGACGAAGCGUGAGUGACGGUAAUGGGUAAAGAAGCACCGGCUAACUACGUG
rnacentral:rRNA from 1 species